UACAGAGGUCUCAAGCGUUGUUCGGAUUCAUUGGGCGUAAAGGGUGCGUAGGCGGCGCGGCAAGUCGGGUGUGAAAUCUCGGAGCUUAACUCCGAAACUGCAUUCGAUACUAGCGUGCUUGAGGACUGGAGAGGAGACUGGAAUUUACGGUGUAGCGGUGAAAUGCGUAGAUAUCGUAAGGAAGACCAGUGGCGAAGGCGGGUCUCUGGACAGUUCCUGACGCUGAGGCACGAAGGCCAGGGGGGCAAACGGG
rnacentral:rRNA from 1 species